GAUGAACGCUGGCGGCGUGCCUAAUACAUGCAAGUCGAGCGAACAGACGAGGAGCUUGCUCCUCUGACGUUAGCGGCGGACGGGUGAGUAACACGUGGAUAACCUACCUAUAAGACUGGGAUAACUUCGGGAAACCGGAGCUAAUACCGGAUAAUAUAUUGAACCGCAUGGUUCAAUAGUGAAAGACGGUUUUGCUGUCACUUAUAGAUGGAUCCGCGCCGCAUUAGCUAGUUGGUAAGGUAACGGCUUACCAAGGCAACGAUGCGUAGCCGACCUGAGAGAGGGGACGGCCACACUGGAGCUGAGUCAGGGACGAGACUCCUGCGGGAGGCAGCAGGAGGUAAUGUUCCGCAAUGGGCGGAAGCCUGACGGAGCAACGCAGGGUGAGUGAGGAAGGUCUUCGGUUCGUAAUGCUCUGUGAUUUGGGAUGAGCAAAUGUGUAAGUAACUAUGCACGUGUUGACGGUACCUAGUCAGAAAGCCACGGCUAACUACGUG
rnacentral:rRNA from 1 species